rnacentral:rRNA from 1 species
UACGGAGGGGGCUAGCGUUGUUCGGAAUUACUGGGCGUAAAGCGCACGUAGGUGGUUUGUUAAGUUGAAUGUGAAAUCCCCGGGCUCAACCUGGGAACUGCAUCCAAAACUGGCAAGCUAGAGUAGGGCAGAGGGUGGUGGAAUUUCCUGUGUAGCGGUGAAAUUCGUAGAUAUUCGGAGGAACACCAGUGGCGAAGGCGGCUCACUGGCUCGAUACUGACGCUGAGGUGCGAAAGCGUGGGGAGCAAACAGG